rnacentral:lncRNA from 1 species
GAGAGAUAACACUUUCAAUUUCAUUGCCCAGAAACCCAUUUCCUCACCAUCUCCUUCAAAUUCACUUUGCAUAGAUAGCCAUCAUCACUUUCAAUUUCUAUGACCACCAAUGAUGAUAGAGCCCCAAUUCCGACGAAAAGGAAAAAGCCAAGUCGUAAGCGCUAGCUGAUUUGCUUGACGAUUCUUUCGCUAGUUCUUCCAUGGUUGAUGAGGAUUUAAAUGUUGUCAUUUUGGAUGCAUCGGCUUUGUCUAAUUCUUUUGGAAGACGAAAUGGUGGUAGUGGUGAGGUCAUUACGAAUUUGGCAAUAAAAAGGUCUGUCAACCUUUCCAAAGUGCUCAUCGUUAGUUGUAAAUGCAGAAAUUGUUUGUUAGUAUGGGCAGAAUUGUUUUGAGUAGAUCUGAUAAAUGUGGUUGUCAUGAUUGUUGGUAGCAUAUUGGAUUUGGUGUUGGCGAUUUGUUGGUGGUGAUGUUGUGGUGGCGGCAAAGUAACGUGUAAGGGUGGUCACAAGUGGCU